CCAAUAGCGUAUAUUAAAGUUGUUGCAGUUAAAAAGCUCGUAGUUGAAUUUCGGGGUCAGCAGGUUGGUCGUGCCUAUGGUAUGAACUGGCUUCGCUGGUCUCUCCUUUCUGAAGAACUGUAAUGCCAUUAAUUUGGUGUUGCAGGGACACAGGACUGUUACUUUGAAAAAAUUAGAGUGUUUAAAGCAGGCUAACGCUUGAAUACAUUAGCAUGGAAUAAUGAAAUAGGACGUUCGAACCUAUUUUGUUGGUUUCUAGGAUUGACGUAAUGAUUAAUAGGGAUAGUUGGGGGCAUUAGUAUUCAAUUGUCAGAGGUGAAAUUCUUGGAUUUAUUGAAGACUGACUACUGCGAAAGCAUUUGCCAAGGAUGUUUUCAUUAAUCAAGAACGAAAGUUAGGGGAUCGAAGACGAUCAGAUACCGUCGUAGUCUUAACCAUAAACUAUGCCGACUAGGGAUCGGAUGAUGUUAAUUUUUUAAUGACUCAUUCGGCGCCUUACG
rnacentral:ncRNA from 2 species